rnacentral:rRNA from 1 species
AUUGAACGCUGGCGGCAGGCCUAACACAUGCAAGUCGAGCGGAUGAAGGGAGCUUGCUCCUGGAUUCAGCGGCGGACGGGUGAGUAAUGCCUAGGAAUCUGCCUGGUAGUGGGGGAUAACGUCCGGAAACGGGCGCUAAUACCGCAUACGUCCUGAGGGAGAAAGUGGGGGAUCUUCGGACUUCCGGCUUUCAGAUGGCCCUAGGUCGGAUUAGCUAGUUGGUGGGGUAAAGGCCUACCAAGGCGACGAUCCGUAACUGGUCUGAGAGGAUGAUCAGUCACACUGGAACUGAGACACGGUCCAGACUCCUACGGGAGGCAGCAGUGGGGAAUAUUGGACAAUGGGCGAAAGCCUGAUCCAGCCAUGCCGCGUGUGUGAAGAAGGUCUUCGGAUUGUAAAGCACUUUAAGUUGGGAGGAAGGGCAGUAAGUUAAUACCUUGCUGUUUUGACGUUACCAACAGAAUAAGCACCGGCUAACUUCGUG